GACGAACGCUGGCGGCGUGCUUAACACAUGCAAGUCGAACGGUAAGGCCCUUCGGGGUACACGAGUGGCGAACGGGUGAGUGACACGUGGGUGAUCUGCCCUGCACUUCGGGAUAAGCUUGGGAAACUGGGUCUAAUACCGGAUAGGACCACGGUCUGCAUGGAUUGUGGUGGAAAGCUUUUGCGGUGUGGGAUGGGCCCGCGGCCUAUCAGCUUGUUGGUGGGGUGAUGGCCUACCAAGGCGACGACGGGUAGCCGGCCUGAGAGGGUGUCCGGCCACACUGGGACUGAGAUACGGCCCAGACUCCUACGGGAGGCAGCAGUGGGGAAUAUUGCACAAUGGGCGCAAGCCUGAUGCAGCGACGCCGCGUGGGGGAUGACGGCCUUCGGGUUGGUAACCUCUUUCAGCAGGGACGAAGGGU
rnacentral:rRNA from 1 species